UAAGAAGCUACAGACUGAAAUUUCCUUGUGCUUUUGCUUUGCAUUGCAGGGACACAGUUACACCUGCAUGCCUCCACAUGGCUGAGGCCUUCAAGUACACAGGUGAUUGCCUGUUACAGCUGUUUUGCAAAAACAGUGCUAAAUAAUACUGAGAAGAAAGGAGCCAAACAAGGAACAGAAAGCAACGGCUGCAGAAAAGCGAGAAAACAGAAAUGCAGCCAUCAGAAGCAGAACUCGGUUGUGGAGACUCACUUUAGACACCAGCUCCUCUGGCUGCUGCUCACCUGGGUCAUCUGCCACAGCCCCAGACCUGGCUGUAAGGUCCUUGGCACUCUCUGUCUGAGAAUUUGGGUAGACUGGAAAACAGGACAGGUCAUCAUCCCAUCCCCGUAGCUGAACCUGGAGAAUGGGGCCGGUGGGGUACGUGGAGUAGAUAGGUAGACGGCAUCACAGACGAACCCCCUAAUCACCAGUCCCAAAUAUUAUGUCACAACCCCCUAAUGAGGAUUAUCCAGAUGAGUCCCAGGUAAUCAUAGACUGCUGUUAACAUUAAAGUGAUUCCUGGGACUGAAACUCACUGUACCAAAUGAACUAAAAUGGCUGGUAUUAAUAAACUGACAAAUGCAAAUAAAAGAACACUUCUUUAAUCUCCUUCCAUUAAGGAAAGGGCAUGUGGUUUGAAUUAUGAUCAUAUAAACCACUGACUUCAGGCACUUUUUAAAGGGUUGUAGUCUGCAAAACUCAUUAGAAAAUUUAUGCUAUCAAAUAUUUGAAUAAAAUAUAAUGGGAAUAAAGAGUUAAAUACUGCCUUAAAAAAAAAAAAAAAAAAAAAAAAAAAAAAAAAAGGUUUUCUUUUAAUUUUUAAAAGGGAAAUUACACAAAANNNNNNNNNNNNNNNNNNNNNNNNNNNNNNNNAAUCUUCCUAAAAAAAAAAAAA
rnacentral:lncRNA from 1 species